rnacentral:lncRNA from 1 species
AACCUCAACUACAUGGCAAAGGGAAAGAAACCCUAUAAAAAAUCUAAAGAAAUUCGGAGCCACUGAAGCCAAAGAGAUAUCUAAGAAGCGAAAAAGGGCAACAACAAAGGGCGGAAGAGGAAGCCGGAGUCCAGCACGGAACGCCUCCUGAUACAGGCAAAAAUGACCGGGUGGGGGAGUGCUAGCCCGGUCGGAGGAGCCAGGAAGCUCCAGAUCGUACUCCGGAGGAACUCCGUACUGAACCCUUAUCAGCAGGAGUUCAUCCGGAGUCAGGGAGCAGGGAAUGGUGCUCGACGUAAAAACUGG